GGCUAAAACGUCCCUGGUGGAGCUUGCAGCACUGGAUACACAGAGCUAGUCUCUGUAUACAUCGUUGCAUUGUCUGCCUGAGUGUGUGUAUCGGAAAGUGAGUAUCCUUGUAUCUGUAUGUAUGUUUCUCUGAGCAUGUGUAUGUCUGUGUACUGACUUGCCUUUGGCACUGAGUUUAUGGCGAAGCUAUGUUUUAUGACGGUGUGUAUAAUGAUUGCCUUGGGGGGGGUGACAGGGUGAGUAAAGGGAUAAAUGUGGCAGGGUGAGUGUAAAAGAGCAGGAGGGUGCCAGCGUGUUGAGG